UGGGGAAUAUUGCACAAUGGGGGAAACCCUGAUGCAGCGACGCCGCGUGAACGAAGAAGGUAUUCGUAUCGUAAAGUUCUGUCCUAUGGGAAGAUAAUGACAGUACCAUAGAAGAAAGCUCCGGCUAAAUACGUGCCAGCAGCCGCGGUAAUACGUAUGGAGCGAGCGUUGUCCGGAAUUAUUGGGCGUAAAGGGUACGCAGGCGGUUUAAUAAGUCGAAUGUUAAAGAUCGGGGCUCAACCCCGUAAAGCAUUGGAAACUGAUAAACUUGAGUAGUGGAGAGGAAAGUGGAAUUCCUUGUGUAGUGGUGAAAUACGUAGAUAUUAGGAGGAAUACCAGUAGCGAAGGCGACUUUCUGGACACAAACUGACGCUGAGGUACGAAAGCGUGGGGAGCAAACAGG
rnacentral:rRNA from 1 species